AUGGAUCAAUCACUUCGUUGUUGGAUUGAUCAGGAACUUGUUUUUGUAUCACUGUGGUGGACGUUCGGUGGAGGAACCAGACUGGAACUUGGAAGUGAUGUCCGUCCCUCCCUGACGGUGCUGCCUCCCUCCGUGGAGGAGCUGCAGCAGGGGAAGGCCACGCUCAUGUGCCUGGCCGACAAGGGCUUCCCCUCAGACUGGAGUCUGUCCUGGAAGGUGGACGGCAGCAGCAGCAUCAGCAACGGGGAGCAGAGCAGGAGCCCCGGGGUGCUGCAGAAGGACGGCCACUACAGCUGGAGCAGCACCCUGAGGCUCCCUGCAGACCAGUGGAGGAAGGUGGUCUCUGUGACCUGUGAGGCCAGCCAGGGCUCCCAGACUCCGCUCUCAGAGACACUGAGGAGAGACCAGUGUUCCCAGUCCUGACCUGACUCACUGGGA